rnacentral:rRNA from 1 species
UACGAAGGGGGCUAGCGUUGUUCGGAAUUACUGGGCGUAAAGCGCGCGCAGGCGGUUCUUUUAAGUCGGGUGUGAAAGCCCCGGGCUCAACCUGGGAAUUGCAUUCGAGACUGAAUAGCUAGGGUACGGUAGAGGGAAGUGGAAUUUCCGGUGUAGCGGUGAAAUGCGUAGAUAUCGGAAGGAACAUCAGUGGCGAAAGCGACUUCCUGGACCAGUACCGACGUCAGGCACGAAAGCGUGGGGAGCAAACAGG